rnacentral:rRNA from 1 species
UAGUUAGUUGGUGGGGUAAUGGCCUACCAAGACGAUGAUGUGUAGCCGGGCUGAGAGGUCGAACGGCCACAUUGGGACUGAGACACGGCCCAAACUCCUACGGGAGGCAGCAGUAAGGAAUUUUCGGCAAUGGAGGAAACUCUGACCGAGCAAUGCCGCGUGAACGAUGAAGUAUUUCGGUACGUAAAGCUCUUUUAUUAGGGAAGAAAAGAUGGUGGAAAAACCAUUAUGACGGUACCUAAUGAAUAAGCCCCGGCUAACUAUGUGCCAGCAGCCGCGGUAAUACAUAGGGGGCAAGCGUUAUCCGGAAUUAUUGGGCGUAAAGGGUGCGUAGGCGGUUAAAUAAGUUUAUGGUCUAAGUGCAACGCUCAACGUUGUGAUGCUAUAAAAACUGUUUAGCUAGAGUUGGAUAGAGGCAAGUGGAAUUCCGUGUGUAGUGGUAAAAUGCGUAAAUAUACGGAGGAACACCAGAAGCGAAGGCGGCUUGCUGGGUCUUAACUGACGCUGAGGCACGAAAGCGUGGGGAGCAAACAGGAUUAGAUACCCUGGUAGUCCACGCCCUAAACGAUGAGUACUAAACGUUGGAUAAAACCAGUGUUGAAGUUAACACAUUAAGUACUCCGCCUGAGUAGUACGUACGCAAGUAUGAAACUUAAAGGAAUUGACGGGACUCCGCACAAGCGGUGGAUCAUGUUGUUUAAUUCGAAGGUACCCGAAAAACCUCACCAGGUCUUGACAUGCUUUUGCAAAGCUGUAGAAAUACAGUGGAGGUUAUCAGAAGCACAGGUGGUGCAUGGUUGUCGUCAGCUCGUGUCGUGAGAUGUUGGGUUAAGUCCCGCAACGAGCGCAACCCUUGUUGUUAAUUGCCAUCAUUACGUUGGGGACUUUAGCAAGACUGCCAAUGAUAAAUUGGAGGAAGGUGGGGACGACGUCAAAUCAUCAUGCCCCUUAUGACCUGGGCUACAAACGUGAUACAAUGGCUGUUACAAAGGGUAGCUAA